rnacentral:rRNA from 1 species
GCUUAUCCGGAUUUAUUGGGUUUAAAGGGUGCGUAGGCGGUUUGAUAAGUUAGAGGUGAAAUUUCGGGGCUCAACCCUGAACGUGCCUCUAAUACUGUUAAGCUAGAGAGUAGUUGCGGUAGGCGGAAUGUAUGGUGUAGCGGUGAAAUGCUUAGAGAUCAUACAGAACACCGAUUGCGAAGGCAGCUUACCAAACUAUAUCUGACGUUGAGGCACGAAAGCGUGGGGAGCAAACAGGAUUAGAUACCCUGGUAGUCCACGCAGUAAACGAUGAUAACUCGUUGUCGGCGAUACACAGUCGGUGACUAAGCGAAAGCGAUAAGUUAUCCACCUGGGGAGUACGUUCGCAAGAAUGAAACUCAAAGGAAUUGACGGGGGCCCGCACAAGCGGAGGAACAUGUGGUUUAAUUCGAUGAUACGCGAGGAACCUUACCCGGGCUUGAAAGUUAGCGACGAUUCUUGAAAGAGGGUUUCCCUUCGGGGCGCGAAACUAGGUGCUGCAUGGUUGUCGUCAACUCGUGCCGUGAGGUGUCGGGUUAAGUCCCAUAACGAGCGCAACCCCUACCGUUAGUUGCCAUCAGGUGAAGCUGGGCACUCUGGCGGGACUGCCGGUGUAAGCCGAGAGGAAGGUGGGGAUGACGUCAAAUCAGCACGGCCCUUACGUCCGGGGCUACACACGUGUUACAAUGGUAGGUACAGAGGGCAGCUACCCAGCGAUGGGAUGCGAAUCUCGAAAGCCUAUCUCAGUUCGGAUUGGAGGCUGAAACCCGCCUCCAUGAAGUUGGAUUCGCUAGUAAUCGCGCAUCAGCCAUGGCGCGGUGAAUACGUUCCCGGGCCUUGUACACACCGCCCGUCAAGCCAUGGGAGCCGGGGGUGCCUGAAGUUCGUGACCGCAAGGAGCGACCUAGGGCAAA